UACGUAGGCAGCGAGCGUUGUUCGGAGUUACUGGGCGUAAAGGGUGCGUAGGCGGUUGUUUAAGUUUGGUGUGAAAUCUCCCGGCUCAACUGGGAGGGUGCGCCGAAUACUGAAUGACUAGAGUGCGGGAGAGGAUAGUGGAAUUCCUGGUGUAGCGGUGAAAUGCGUAGAUAUCAGGAGGAACACCGGUGGUGUAGACGGCUAUCUGGAGCCGUAAC
rnacentral:rRNA from 1 species